ACUUCAUCCAGACAUUUGUGCUGCAUUUAAAAGCCUGUCUUCCCUUUACUGCACUGCUGGAAGUAUUGGCAGUGUUUCAAGUUACUGCCAAUAUGAAAUUAUAGUAUCUGCCAUUUUAGUUUACUCUGAUCAUGCUCAGUGGCACCAGGCCAAUAUAACUAAUUGGUCGAGUGGUUCUUGGUCAAGAGGCUUGUGUAUCUGAGUUUGUUCUACAGUUACCAGCUUUAGCAUCUGAUGCCAUGUUUCACGUGAGAAAGUCCUUUGCUAUAUGCUGUAACGACUUGUGUUCAGUAAUAGGGCCAACAUCUACUGAGGAAGUUAUUUUACCAUAUUUCAUUCAGUUGUGUAAAGAUGAAGUCUGGGC